GAUGAAGAACGUAGCGAAAUGCGAUAAGUAAUGUGAAUUGCAGAACUCAGUGAAUCAUCGAGUCUUUGAACGCACAUUGCGCCCCCUGGUAUUCCGGGGGGCAUGCCUGUCCGAGCGUCAUUGCUGCCCUCAAGCACGGCUUGUGUGUUGGGCCUCCGUCCUCCUCCCGGGGGACGGGCCCGAAAGGCAGCGGCGGCACCGCGUCCGGUCCUCGAGCGUAUGGGGCUUCGUCACCCGCUCUUGUAGGCCCGGCCGGCGCUUGCCGACACAUCAAUCUUUUUUCCAGGUUGACCUCGGAUCAGGUAGGGAUACCCGCUGAACUUAAGCAUAUCAAUAAGCGAGGA
rnacentral:misc_RNA from 1 species